ACGACUCUCGGCAACGGAUAUCUCGGCUCUCGCAUCGAUGAAGAACGUAGCAAAAUGCGAUACUUGGUGUGAAUUGCAGAAUCCCGUGAACCAUCGAGUCUUUGAACGCAAGUUGCGCCCGAAGCCGUUAGGCCGAGGGCACGUCUGCCUGGGCGUCACGCA
rnacentral:rRNA from 1 species